rnacentral:tRNA from 1 species
GUAGUCAUGGCCAAGUGGUUAAGGCGAUGGACUAGAAAUCCGUUGGUGUUUGCCGCGCAGGUUUGGAUCCUGCCAACUACA